AGAGUUUGAUCCUGGCUCAGAAUGAACGCUGGCGGCGUGCCUAACACAUGCAAGUCGAACGAGAAAGCGGACUUCGGUCCGCAAGUACAGUGGCAUACGGGUGAGUAACACGUGGGUAACCUGCCCGGAAGUGGGGGACAACUCUUCGAAAGGGGAGCUAAUACCGCAUAAUAUCCCGAGUACUUCGGUACAUGGGAUCAAAGUUUGCCUCUGUUUCAUGCAAACGCUACCGGAGGGACCCGCGCCCCAUUAGCUUGAUGGUGAGGUAACGGCUCACCAUGGCUACGAUGGGUAGCCGGCCUGAGAGGGUGAUCGGCCACACUGGAACUGAGACACGGUCCAGACUCCUACGGGAGGCAGCAGUGAGGAAUUUUGCGCAAUGGGCGAAAGCCUGACGCAGCGACGCCGCGUGGAGGACGAAGGCCUUCGGGUCGUAAACUCCUGUCAAGAGGGACGAAUCCCUAACGAAUGAAUAAGUCGAUAGGUUGACGGUACCUCUGAAGGAAGCCCCGGCUAACUCCGUGCCAGCAGCCGCGGUAAUACGGAGGGGGCAAGCGUUGUUCGGAAUUAUUGGGCGUAAAGGGCGCGUAGGCGGUCAAGCAAGUUGGUGGUGAAAGCCCUCGGCUCAACCGAGGAAUUGCCCUCAAAACUGCUUGACUUGAGUCCCGGAGAGGGUGGCGGAAUUCCAGUGUAGCGGUG
rnacentral:rRNA from 1 species